UGGACUUCUGCUAAAUUGGGACUAGAAUUCAUAAUUUUCUGGUUCAUACCCUAGUGCUUUAAACUAUUACACCAAACUAUCUUUCUAUAUUCACUUUACUACAUGAAAAUACUAAACUUGAAAUCUGUCAUUAGAUGACCAUUGCUUCUUAUUUUUUCAAUUAUGCUUAACUAGGAAACAUGGACUAAAGUUAUUACUCCAAUGACUGGAAUAUUUAAUGUUCACAGAUACAUAUUUCUGUUUUACCUAGGUCCUUCUUGAAAAUACAGCAAGACCUGAUUUGAACUGAUAGUUUGUUGCCCUAAUAAAUCUCAUGUUGUGGGUCAGUGUAUACUUAUGAUGCAUUUUCUUUUCCUAGCAUAACUUUCUCUAUUCUUACUUUGAUAGGUUGUUCUGCCAUGUCAUCUGACUGACUGAAACUUCCAAAUAUUAACCUGUUGCUUUGUGCCCUAAAGGAAAGAACUGCUCAGCAUUCACAUGUCCUCUUUGAGACAUGACCUGUCAGACUUCCUAGUCAUACAGUAGAUGAGGGUGCAAAAAAAGAAUUAUUAUGAAGCUGUUGUGUGCAAAUCCUGUCACAUCUUCUGAUUUUCAGUCCUCGGUGUCUAUAGCGCAGGUGAGAUCAUUCCUGACUUACCACCAUUUGUUU